ensembl:lncRNA
AUAGUUUUCACUUUUUUUUUUUUUUAAAUGUUCUGAACUGUAACGUAGCAUUAGAAAUACCUUCGUUCGUAGACCUUAAGUUGCGUGUCACGCGCAACUCUAAAGAAACCCUUGAUGCCGUUCGCCACGACGCUCCUGGCGACCUUUGAACCUUUUAGUCUGAGGCAUUAUGAACCUGAAAUACACCAGCUGAAAUCGAGGACAGUGCCUUUACUUUUUUCUAUCGCGUCAUCCCGAAUGACCACGCGUCACUAAAAUACGAACACAAGGUCGUAGGACCCCGCCAAUCAACAGAUCCAGCAGUGCCACUGACCGGACGUGUGUUUCAGGCUGAAGGAAACGCACGCAGAUCUUUAAAACAAAGAGACGGAUGAAUCAAUCAAUCGCCCGGACGCACGGAUUUAAACCAAACAAAACCUGGCCAAGUCGGUCGCGAAGCAGAAACGUGUACCGUAUUAUACCCCCGUGGUGUUUUCUCGCAAAUUUCCGCCCAUUCUGAGUAGCGACGUUGUUGACGUUUAUAUAAACGAACUCCUCUGCGAAGUCCUCGCGAUCGAAGCGGUCGUAAAUCCGUCGACGCGAGUUCUCGCCGAUCUUUAAUCGUCAGACGAUCCCGCCCGUCGGAACUCUCCCCACGUCGGAAUUUCCGCAUUCGGAUGGAUUCCGCUUUCGGUUUCAUACCGCGACAUUUUCUAACAAAAAGAAGAAGAAAAAAAAAGAAAGAAAGGUAGGAAUGUUAACUCCGCCCCCUCGCUGCAAAUUGAAUCGCGAAGACGAUCUCACGAUUGAUUAUCUCACGCGAUCGCGAGACUGUCGGGAUUUUUUUUUAAUUAUUUUUUUUCUUCAUUUCUCUCUCUCUCGAAAAAAAAAAUAAAUAAAAAAUUUGCCAGAACUUACGCGAGAAACGGCGAACGCUGGAUUUUGUAUUUUUCUACUGCGGGCACAUGGAACGAAGGUGUGAGAAAGCGUACAAAGUCUAACCGUAUCCUUCGUAACUUGUCAUUCGUACCGUUUACUUUGUGGAAAUUGUAACGAAAUAGCAAUCAGAAGACCAUGAUGUGUAUGUAUAUAUAUAUAUAUGUAUAUAUAUACACGUUUCAUGGGGAAGAUGCACUCGAUGUAAAUCUACUCGCGUACGGAAACACGUACUGACAAAUUACGUAAAAUUGCUCCAUUGCCUUAAAGACACUGUUCUUGCGUAAUAACCGCCCGCUCUUUUUUUAUCUGACUGUAAACACAUCGCCUUGCCAUCGACUUGACCCCACUGGUUAAACCGAGAGAUUCUCCCAAGGCUCCCAUUGGCUCAGAGGACGAUGAUUGACAGUUCUGGCACUGAACAGUAACACAUAGUGGGCUUUUACUGGUAUGGUUCCUGCCCUUCCCGUCAGCCCCUUCAAACUCGUACUGUACACACAUGUAGUCCUUUUGUCCUCUGGCGGGUCGCGAACAUGCCACCCCUCCCCACGGGGACAUGUUAAACCUGCUGCGCCAUCAAAACCUGACAUCCACGUUCUCUCUUUUCUCCACCUCUCUUUUUCUCGAGCACUAAUCUCAUCACUUCCUAACCCGCUUCUUUAGGAUUAAACCUAUUACAACUAUUGGAUUGGUGGAAAAUCUUUCCCAUUAUUACCGAAGAGAGAAAAGGAUUUUAGAACAAGAUAAUAAUUUCUUUCAGAGUGUCGAUGGAAAAGGGAAAAAUCUCCUUCCUGGUUUUAAAUUUAAAGCUACACUUUUGAGCGCAGCGAUACUUAUAAAUUAACAUCUUCGCUUCUGCAAAAGAUUUAUUUCCGGAUUAUAUACAUCGCCGUUUUUUCCGUUUCUUUUCCCCACGGUACUCAACUCGUACUCGACGAGAGCGAUGCGGCGGCGCUUUAGUACUUUAGCCUGUUCUGUACGCACUGCUCAAUCGGAUCAGCUCUCAAAGCUCCGACCACCACGCUAGAGUCACCGACGAUGAAGAUCGCCGGCUAGCCGAGCAGCGCAACUGCGUCGUAGUGCUGCAUUGCAUCCUGGGACGUCGAGUCCAACGUUCGCACCACGACUUCUACGCUGGAUUUUUUUAUUUUAUUUAUUUAUUUAUUUUUAUUAACACGCCGUGGAACGUUGCUGGAAAUUGAUGCGUAAGAAAAGAAGUUUUUUCUCGUUUGUUUUUAAGCGCUAACAGCGAAAUAUCCGAUCGGACGCCGUUACGAUAACAGUGUGAUGUCAGAGCGGCGUACGAACGCCGACUUCCCACCACAAAAGAUUUCAAUAUUGACAUACGUGACGUCUUUCAGGGUGGAGUUUAACCGUUUAAACCGUUCACCAUCUAUAAACUAGCAGUUAUAUCGCUGGACAUCAACACCUCCUCAGCGCUAGAUCCUAAAUAUAGUUGGUGUUUAUGAGUCCCAUGUUGGACUAAGACUAAUCGUGGUUGUUUAGAUCGGUUUCGUCUCGAUAGGUUUGGUUUGCUUACUCAGUUAGAUUAACACCUCUUGAACUUGGCUAAUCAAAACAGGGUAGCGUGGAACCGAUUUCCUGUUGGUUAGUGCGUGAAAAUAACCCCAAAUACACGACGUUCACCAAGAGUCUAACGGUAUCCCAUGAUUCAGUGCAGCCAUCCAAAAAAAAUAACAAAAAAAAAAAAAAAAAAAAAGAGGGCUUGGGUUUUUCAAAUAAAUAAACAAGAACAGCCUUUUUAAAAAUCUUAACUAAAUAACUUUUACCUAGUAUACCAAUUUCACACCGCCGCUAGUCAACGUCUAGACGAAACAAGCAGACUAAAAUCGACCUUAUCGUGGCCUUCUGUGUACAAUCCGAUAAUUCCGUCUGUAAUUAUUCCCUAAAUAGACCUUCCCCCUUUCCUGUGGGGUUGAUACGAUUUUUUAACCGAUUUUUUUUUUUUUUUUAAAUAAAUAAAUUGAAUUUAAAAAAAAAAAAAAAAAAAAAAAAAAAAAAAAAAAAAAGAUUCAAUGUUAGGAAACGUGGUGAUGGUCUGAAAAUGCUCCGAAACAUGGCUCAAAACAAGAAGAAGAAGAAAAAAAAACACACACCACGCACUCAGUGUAGAAACAUAUCUGUAGCGUCCACCAAAGCUAGAGAUACCCAUUCAAAAAAAAACAACAAAAAAAUAAAGAAAAGAAAAGAAAAAACGACAUACCAUCAGAAUCCGGAGGAAUUUGAAACUACGAAUCGCUUCUUUAAGAAAUGUGUAUGUUUUUUAUUGAAUUUUCUAGUAGUUACGAACAAUGUUUUUUUCUCUUCUGUUCCUCUGCGUGCUGUGUGUCGUCUUGAUAUUUGAAUGUAUUUACUGCGGUACAAAAUUUGCCAAAGAUACCAUACCACUUGUUUCCAGUUUUCAGCAUUUUUGAUUUUGAUUUCUUUAUGUUUUAUACCGUAUACGUUUUCAAGUCAGCCCACGGACUGGAAAUAAUUGUUACAGAUAAUACGUUUUGGUGUUUGUUUUUUUUUCUUCUUUUUUUUUUAAAAAAAAAAAAUAAUAAAAAAUAAUAAUAAUCAUUUUGGUAUUGCUAAUGUUAUGAUUGGAAUUAUUCAAUGCUUCAGGGUUAUUUUAUGUUUGAAGUGUCAAUUUGAAUUAUCUGGCAUUCGUCCUGACCCCUGAAAUCAGUCCAGGGUAAAUAGGCUACUAAGUGUACGUGCAGACGAGUGAGUGUUGUUUGUGCAUUAUUGAUUUAUGUACCUGUAAUGUGAAAUGAAG